UUUAGUGAAUAAGAGAUUUUAUAUAAUGGAGAGCAGUGGUGAGGCUUUUCCACUGUAUUGUCUAACGAGCAGCACCAUUGAGGACUUUCACCAUUUUGAAGUAGUCAAAAUGGUGGGACUUCCUGUGGGUUAAGGAAGGAUGCUAUAAUUCCAUCCAGGUCAGCAGAAGGAGUUAACCAAUGAAUUUAUAGUCCUGAGAUAACAUUCCAUAACUGCAGGUAGCAGUAAAUCACCAACCUUGUCUUUGUACCUGUUCAGACUGCAGUACAUUAGGAGGUGGUAUCCUGUUCAGACUGUACACACUGCAGUACAUUAGGAGGUGGUAUCCUGUUCAGAUGAUACACACUGCAGUACAUUAGGAGGUGGUAUCCUGUUCAGACUGUACACACUGCAGUACAUUAGGAGGUGGUAUCCUGUUCAGAUGAUACACACUGCAGCACAUUAGGAGGGAGUAUCUUGUUCAGAUGAUACACACUGCAGUACAUUAGGAGGUGGUAUCCUGUUCAGAUGAUACACACUGCAGUACAUUAGGAGGAGGUAUCCUGUUCAGAUGAUACACACUGCUAUCCUCUUCCUUCACUUCUCUCUCCUCGACCUCAACUUCUCUCUCUUUUCCAUCUUCCUCCUCC